GGAUGACUAACUGCCCAGCUGAAUGAUAACGGUUGUAUAUAUUUGAACAUGAAGGUGCUAUAUCUCUUGGGAGAGCUAGAGAACAUCUGAAAGUGAGUGUUGUUACAAUUGUGGCCUAAAGGUAACUGCUUCCAUACCUGGGUUUUAUUCAUCCACAAAUUGGGUGAGGACCUGUCUCAACUCUCCUGAACUUAGGAAGUAGACUCUGGAGAAAGAGACUGUGUGUGUUCCUCCUCAUACUUACGUCUGGCUUUGAGGUGAGCUUUUGGCUCUCUCUAAAUCAGAACAGUUUCACUUGGAGUUAGAUUUUCAUGAUUCAGCC
rnacentral:lncRNA from 1 species